AGUGCUGUAACCAGGGGGUAUUGUCUCCCAGUUACUUCAUGGGUGGAAGUCACUCCCAUCUCCCUGGCUCAAAGCAUGGCCACAGCUACUUAACAUACCUAUGAAGCUAGCCAGCUGUUAUAGAUAUGUACAAUAACCAUUUUUGCAUAUCAAGUAUGAAGCUGGCCAACUGUUAAUAUGCAAAAUAACUCUCAAUGUCCCUGCUCCAAGUGUCCCAUCCCCAAGUUCAGACUUGUGGGGGUGAGGACAUCCUAUAUUUUUUCUAAUAUUUCCUGGACACCCUGAGUUCUGGACCCCAUUACAAAUCCCUAAUGCAGGGGCCCCCUGGCUGCAUCCUGUUACAUAGGGACAGGCAGUUGGUUUGUGGACUCAGGAGACAUUCCAGAAGGAGGUCUGUCAUAGGGACAGGUGUGGAAAAAGCCUCUCAGAUAGGUGUGUAGGUUUGAUUUUCUCAAAGGUCCUCUUAGGGGCAGAAUUACAAAAUAUAACAGAAAGGUGGCCAGAUUUCAGAUAAGAUUCAGCAGGUUCAGUUGCCCUGUGGAAAAUAAAGGAGUGUGCAGGUGUUCCUUUGUGCAAAAACAGGUAUUCUAUAAUAGAUUCAGAUACCUUGUCCUUACAUGUUUUGUAUUAGUCUUAGUGAACUCCUGUUUUCUACUAUUCUAAUUGGAACCAGUGGGAUUCAUGGAAAUUGAUUCUUCCCUGAUAUUUAUCCUUGUAGAAGAUGUACAACAAUAGCAUAUACUUUUAUAAUAUUCCUAUUCGUGUAUUGUGAUUUUAUUUUUAUUUUAAAACUUUCUUGUUAAAAUUUUGAGUCAAAACAUUGAUGAUUCUAUAUUUCAGUUCUCUCUUAUUUUUGAAUAAUUUGUAAUCUUUUCAGUAGUACCCAUAUAAGAAGCUGUACUAUUUCUUGAGGCAUGGAUGAAUAUUUUUUUAUCUAUUGGAGGUGGAUGACAAGGUGACCAUGGAGGCCAUUCCAGUAAUUGGGAGACAGAAAGCCUCUGCACAUAUCUAUUGUUGGGUACCCUCAGAAGGGCUAAAUGUCGUCUGUGGGAUUUCAGGUCUGCUGUCUGUGUAGAAAGUGUUCUCAGGUCCCUUUAGCCCAUGGGAAAUCAUCAU